CCUACGGGAGGCUGCAGUGGGGAAUUUUGGGCAAUGGCCGCAAGGCUGACCCAGCGACGCCGCGUGCGGGAGGACGCCUUUCGGGGUGUAAACCGCUGUCAGGGGGGACGAACCGCCGGGGGAGGAAUAUGCCCACGGUCUGACGGUACCCUCAAAGGAAGCGCCGGCUAACUCCGUGCCAGCAGCCGCGGUAAGACGGAGGGCGCGAGCGUUGUUCGGAAUCACUGGGCGUAAAGCGCGCGCAGGCGGAUGGGUAAGUCGGGGGUGAAAGACCGGGGCUCAACCCCGGGGCGGCCUCCGAGACUGCUCGUCUGGGGACCGGUAGGGGCAGGUGGAAUUCCCGGUGUAGCGGUGGAAUGCGUAGAGAUCGGGAAGAACACCGGUGGCGAAGGCGGCCUGCUGGGCCGGAUCCGACGCUGAGGCGCGAAAGCGUGGGGAG
rnacentral:rRNA from 1 species